rnacentral:rRNA from 1 species
AUUGAACGCUGACGGCAUGCCUUACACAUGCAAGUCGAACGGUAACAGGUCUUCGGAUGCUGACGAGUGGCGAACGGGUGAGUAAUACAUCGGAACGUGCCUAGUAGUGGGGGAUAACUACUCGAAAGAGUGGCUAAUACCGCAUAAGAUGUAGGGAUGAAAGCAGGGGAUCGCAAGACCUGAUGCUACUAGAGCGGCCGAUGGCAGAUUAGGUAGUUGGUGGGAGAAAAGCUUACCAAGCCGACGAUCUGUAGCUGGUCUGAGAGGACGAUCAGCCACACUGGGACUGAGACACGGCCCAGACUCCUACGGGAGGCAGCAGUGGGGAAUUUUGGACAAUGGGCGAAAGCCUGAUCCAGCAAUGCCGCGUGCAGGAUGAAGGCCUUCGGGUUGUAAACUGCUUUUGUACGGAACGAAAAGCCCCGGGUUAAUACCCUGGGGUCAUGACGGUACCGUAAGAAUAAGCACCGGCUAACUACGUGCCAGCCGCCGCGGUAA